GGCGCGGUCGUUCAGUGGGUUAGCCUUCUUUUUUAAAACAGCGGCCUGUCACGCCGGGGGUCGCGGGUUCGAGUCCCGUCCGCUCCGCCA
rnacentral:tRNA from 1 species